GACGAACGCUGGCGGCGUGCUUAACACAUGCAAGUCGAACGGAAAGGCCCUGCUUUUGUGGGGUGCUCGAGUGGCGAACGGGUGAGUAACACGUGAGUAACCUGCCCUUGACUUUGGGAUAACUUCAGGAAACUGGGGCUAAUACCGGAUAGGAGCUCCUGCUGCAUGGUGGGGGUUGGAAAGUUUCGGCGGUUGGGGAUGGACUCGCGGCUUAUCAGCUUGUUGGUGGGGUAGUGGCUUACCAAGGCUUUGACGGGUAGCCGGCCUGAGAGGGUGACCGGCCACAUUGGGACUGAGAUACGGCCCAGACUCCUACGGGAGGCAGCAGUGGGGAAUAUUGCACAAUGGGAGGAAGCCUGAUGCAGCAACGCCGCGUGCGGGAUGACGGCCUUCGGGUUGUAAACCGCUUUCGCCUGUGACGAAGCGUGAGUGACGGUAAUGAGUAAAGAAGCACCGGCUAACUACGUG
rnacentral:rRNA from 1 species